AUUGGACGCUGGCGGCAGGCCUAACACAUGCAAGUCGAACGAGUGGCGGACGGGUGAGUAAUGUAUGGGGAACUGCCUGAUGGAGGGGGAUAACUACUGGAAACGGUAGCUAAUACCGCAUACCAUCGGAUGUGCCCAUAUGGGAUUAGCUAGUAGGUGGGGUAAAGGCUCACCUAGGCGACGAUCCCUAGCUGGUCUGAGAGGAUGACCAGCCACACUGGAACGGAGACACGGUCCAGACUCCUACGGGAGGCAGCAGUGGGGAAUAUUGCACAAUGGGCGCAAGCCUGAUGCAGCCAUGCCGCGUGUAUGAAGAAGGCCUUCGGGUUGUAAAGUACUUUCAGCGGGGAGGCGUUACCCGCAGAAGAAGCACCGGCUAACUCCGUGCCAGCAGCCGCGGUAAUUC
rnacentral:rRNA from 1 species